rnacentral:lncRNA from 1 species
AAAUUAUCCUAGAAAUAUAGAUGAUAGUUAAAAGGAUAGUAAAACUAAAAAGUAUCAAUAUUGUCUUUUAUAAAUGGCCUUCUUUUUAAUUUAUUGUACCAUAAAUAAAGCAAAAUAAAGUAGAUUAGGAAAAUAAAGAAUAUAAAAAUUUAUAAGAAGAAGUUAGGAGUUGUUUUUACCAAAAAUUAACUCAAAAGGAUAAAAUUUGAUACUCGAAGAGGAUCAGUUAUCAACAUGGAUUGAAAUCAGACCUUGAGGCACAAAACUGAGCACCUACAGCAACUCUGGGGUUUUUUUGGUAAAUCAAAGAGUGGAAUUUGAGAGCAAACAAGAUAGGAUUUUUAAGAGUAUUUUUUUUGUAUGAUUUGGAUUCAUAAUGACUUAGUAAGAGCUUUAUAAAAUCAAGUUUGUUUUCAAAUGAUUGGAAUUUUAUGAAAUAAAUUAGAGUUGAUAUUUUGGAUAAUUUCAAGAGUUUUGUAAUAGAUAUAUAAGUGAAAUUUUAUAGAUUAAUGGUUAUAGUUGUGCU